UGCAGUAGUCCUUGUGACUAUGUUACUCAUAGCUUGUGUUACACCGGAGCCUGAUUCAGGUGAAGAUCAAUGGAAAUCUCUGGGAAAUCCACAGAACAGAAAUCUGUUUUACAAAAUUCUCCAGUCCUACUUUAAUGGAAGAGGCAUUAACUUGGUUGGCAUGGGGAGAAAAGACAAACUGCUCGGCAAUCUGGGAGGGAAAACAAGCUCCAGCUAUGACAGAUACAGGCAGAAGCUGGAGGACAACGACAGUUUUUAUGUGUGAAAAUGUAACUUCAUCAAUUUAAAACAAUCACUCUGUUAUUUUUGUAACUAAGCUGCAAUUUCAAUUUUGAAAACCCUUUGUUGAAUACUUUCAGGCUUGGUAUUUGUAACUACUAAAAUAAAAAUGUGUUUUAAUGUUUGUCUGUUAAAAUUUGACAACAAAUAUAUAGGCUUUUUGAGACUAAAUAAUUACUAUGGUAACCUUAAAUAUAAACACAAGACAUAGAACCAUACUGAUAUAUAGUACCAAUGUGUAUUAUGUCACAAAAAUGAUACAGUUAUUUGAAAAAUAUUGAAAUACCUAUAGAAUGACACAGCUGGAUUGCAAGCAUGCACUAAUGGGUUGCUAAUCUGUUUUUUAGUUGUUUUUUUUUUAAGUUGUUCCAAUCAAAUAAUGUGAUUCUUUGGAUAAUCCUAUUAUGCGGCAAACAGUUUUCAACAAUUUCACAAUACAAGGUUAAGUUGGCACCUAUGCCAAUCGCUGUUCUCUGUCUAUAUAUGUAUAUUUAUGUUAUCCUGUAUACCACCAUUCAUUCUUGGCCUAAGACAUGCAGCAUUAGUCAGAAUGCAAAGUGUAAUUAUAAUAAUAAAAUAUUUCAUCACAAA